CUGUACACAGCUCCUAAACUGGAGUGGUCAAUCCCAUCUUGACACACGCACCGACAAGUCAAGUACUUGACUACACCCAGCAGCCUUCCGUCACUGAAUUAAAAAUUCAAGUAGUCCAGUGUCUAAGUACAGUGAGUUGCUUACAAGUCACCAUGGCGGUCUCAGGUCGGAGGGAUAUUUAUACCCAUAUUCCAUCGGUAGCAAAUCUUGACAGUAGAAAUAGCUCUGG
rnacentral:lncRNA from 1 species